GCCCCUCCCUGGUGACCACACCCCUCUAAGCCCCUCCCUGGUGACCACACCCCUCUAAGCCCCACCCCUCUCCACAGUGGGCGGAGCUCCCCGACCGCUCCCUGGCCCGGUGCCCCCAUUGCCGCAAGGUGUCUGCGAUUGGGCGGCGGUUCCCACGGCGACGCUGCCUGUGCUGCCUCCUGGGGGCGCUGCUGAUGGGCGGGGCCGCCGCGGGGCUCGCGGCCGGGACGUGGUGGCUCUGGCGCC